GUGCUGAGUGAAGUCAGGUGGUUUAGAGAAACAGUUUUUGACUGUGUCCUGUAAAGAGCAGCAUUUUGAACUUUGAUACCUGUGUAAACUUGGAAAGAUGUAAAAUAUGUGGUCUUUGAGACAUGAGUGCUGAGUGAAGUCAGGUGGUUUAGAGAAACAGUUUUUGACUGUGUCCUGUAAAGAGCAGCAUUUUGAACUUUGAUACCUGUGUAAACUUGGAAAGAUGUCAAAUAUGAGGUCUUUGAGACAUGAGUGCUGAGUGAAGUCAGGUGGUUUAGAGAAACAGUUUUUGACUGUAUCCUGUAAAGAGCAGCAUUUUGAACUUUGAUACCUGUGUAAACUUGGAAAGAUUUCAAAUAUGAGGUCUUUGAGACAUGAGUGCUGAGUGAAGUCAGGUGGUUUAGAGAAACAGUUUUUGACUGUGUCCUGUAAAGAGCAGCAUUUUGAACUUUGAUACCUGUGUAAACUUGGAAAGAUUUCAAAUAUGAGGUCUUUGAGACACGAGUGCUGAGUGAAGUCAUAUGGUUUAGAGAAACAGUUUUUGACUGUGUCCUGUAAAGAGCAGCAUUUUGAACUUAGAUACCUGUGUAAA